rnacentral:rRNA from 1 species
AUACGGAGGAUCCAAGCGUUAUCCGGAAUCAUUGGGUUUAAAGGGUUCGUAGGCGGGUUUAUAAGUCAGUGGUGAAAGUUUGCGGCUCAACCGUAAAAUUGCCAUUGAUACUGUAGAUCUUGAAUUAGUGUGAAGUGAUUAGAAUAAGUAGUGUAGCGGUGAAAUGCAUCGAUAAUACUUAGAAUACCAAUUGCGAAGGCAGGUCACUAACACUAUAUUGACGCUGAGGGACGAAAGCGUGGGAGCGAACAGGAUUAGAAACCCCUGUAGUCC